rnacentral:lncRNA from 1 species
AUCCAAGAACCCAAUAUAAAUCCUUUCCUUGAAGCUCCCCAUCCAAGUUAGUGCCUUUGUUGCACUUGAAAGCAAAGAAAGAUAUUUCAAUCAUUCAUACUUGGAUCCUGAAUGUAAAGAAUAGGAUCAAAGAUUGCCCUGUUGUAAGUGGAGAGAUGAGCUGGCCAGCUUUAAGUUGCAUAUAAAGACAAGGCAAGGGCAUUGAAGGAAAGGAAACAAACAUAAGACCAAA